GCCGGGGUCGCCUAGUGGUAUGGCGGUAGGCUCGAGACCUGCUGACGCUUGUGCGUCGCGUGGGUUCGAAUCCCACCCCCGGCG
rnacentral:tRNA from 1 species